CCCUGAGUCCACAUUCCAUCAGGAUGAUGUCAUAGAAGACUGGAUCCAGGCGCCUCUUCCUUUGGGUCCCGUGACCACUCAGCGGAGGGAGAAGCUAACACUGUGAUGAGACGUGACUCGCCAGAGAGACAGGGGGGCUUUCUGCAUCUGAAUGUUCUUAGCCAUCGUACAUUUGAUUGAGCAUCUGUCUUGUGCUGGUUUUGAGCUGGGCCUGGAGUUCAAAGGUGGGCAAAAGCCCGUCCCUGCCCUUUAAGGAUCUCCCAGUCUAGCAGAAGAAAAUGGCUCGUCUGUAAAGACAACUCCCUGUGAUUUGUCACAGAGGAUUCACGGAAUCGUGUUAGAAGAAAUCACUCUCCUGUUACGCGUGGGGAGCUGUGGCCCAGAGAAGAGACGCGACCUGCUCAGGGUGGCAGAACUUGGACAAGGUGGAAGAUUCAUGCCUCCUGGUUGAAGUGCAAUGUGAAUUGCACAAUUCUUAGGCUUUCUCUAAACAUUCGGAGUUUGGAAACAUAGUAGCGUUCUUUUUCUCUAUAACCACCAAAUUACAAAGAAUUUCUCCUUGAGAUUUUUCAGUUUGAAGGAAGACCUUUGCUGGGGACUCUGAAAGAGAGAAACAGAGCUGUCGGCGAUCCAGAGUAACCGAGUGCCUGGGCCCGGGGCUGGGGUCUCAGGAGGAACCGUGUUAAAUGACCUACAAGUUUCAUCUCGGAAACCUCUGAACUUCCUUACAACACUUAGGAGAGAGGACUAAAACAUGUCGAAUCAGGAGACCCUGCUCUGUUCUGGAUUUAAAUGCACUGCGCUCUGAGAUUGACUUUUGAAGCAGCAGAAAUUGGAGGAAAAGGGAAGCAAAGCAGUGACAGGGGAGGGAUAAGUGGAGUGACACAGUGGAACACUCACUGGCUUUGUGUCAGAGAGACCUGAAUUCCAAUCCUGCUUCUGGGGUUACUAGCUGUGUGAUGUUGGGUAAUUUACUUAACCUCUCUGAACCUCAGUUUCUUUACCAAUAGAAUCAAUAUGCUUAUACCUACUAAUUUGCUUUUUGGGAUGAGUAAUGGGAUAAUGUAUGUAGCUUUGCCUGGUGCAGAGGAAGCCAUUGGUAAAUAGUUAUGGAAUGAAUGAUUGAUAACUUGAAAACAUUAUUAUUUCUGACUUGUCUGUGGAUCACUCCCCAAUUUUCAGUGUACUUUGGGAAUCUAUAGUUACCUAAGAUAGUUUCAUUCCACUGUGGCCUCCUAGGCCUCAUGUUUCAAGCAAUCAACUUCAUCUUCUUUACCUGUGCUGGCCCUUAUCAUGGGAGUUGAGAGUGAUGUCCUCUCCCUCCCUCUUUGAUUUCUCCCUUCCUUACUUCCCUCAUUCACUUGAGAAUAUAUAUUAACGUUCUAUUAUAGUCCAGACACUGGGUUAGAAGUAAAGGUUAUGAGGUCAGGAAGAAUUAGUCUUGGCCCCUGAGAAGGUCACAGUCUUGUGGAAGAGACACAAAAGAGGGAGCCACGAACUCUGUCUGGGUCGGGGGAGGUGGGAGAGGAAGCACGAGGCAGGUGAGCUUUCCUACAGGGAGGGCAUCUUCCCGAACACUGGGAGGAGUUACGCAGAGAGUCAUGGUGGCGCCCCUCCAGGAAGAGGGAGCCGUAAGUGCUGACUGACCACAGAGGCCCGAGAGACGCCAGAGUGCUCCGGGACCAGAGAGGAGUGGGGAGGGUGGGUGCAGUGGGGGCACGGGGAGGUGAGAGCUCAGGGGUCAGUGGGGACUGGACAGCCACAGACCUCAUAUGCCUUACAAGGCGUUUGGACUUCACCCUGCUGGCGACAGGGCGGGAGACAGGGGUGUGAAAUUGGCCAAAGGCAUGUGAUAGAAGCUGCCGGGGAAGAGAUUCGAGAGGGCAGUGGGAUCAGGGAGAUGGAUCAAGACCUCCUUUAAAAUCUGGCUGAGUGAUAAGGAGAAUUUAGAGACAGUACAGGUGGAAAAGAAGGGAUGGAAUUCAAGAGAUGGUUGGGAACAGCUCCAACAGGCAAUGGCGGGGAGUGGGCAUUGGGGAUGAGGAAGGGUGUGGGGCCUUCCCAAGUCAGGAUGGGAAAGCUGGGGGGCCACCUUUUCUAAUUUCCUCUAAAGCAGAGGCUUCUCUCUGUGUGGAAAUGAUUGUCAUACCCCACGAAUGACCUGGGAACUGCCCGAUUUCACAACUGGGCAUUCCAGGCUCUCUAUAAACAUGUGUUGAAUGAACGGAUGCUGGAAAUGACAUUCCUGCAGGAAGCCAAAAUGAGUGCUGUCAGGCUAUUUUGAGCCGGUCUUAUGGCUCAUCACCCUCCCAGUUGUAUCCUUUGUAACCAUCGCAUCCUUUGUCCCUCCAAAUCGUCCUUAGCGUUUCCUCCUGGGGCUUCUGUGCCCUGACCACAAGCUAAGAGGAGGUGAACGUGGCAGGGUAGCUCUCUGCUCCCCUCCCACCAGCAUCUCUCAUCUGCAGCAGGCCUCGGUCUGUGUUCUCGUUAUCUCGGUGUGGAAUCCUGGCUGCCUGAGUCCUGCAUCAACUCAGCAGGCUGGCUGGGACCCCAGGCCAGUACGGAUUGGAAAGUGCGAGUCCUCCUUGCUCAGUAGGACUGAUCUGAAGCUCCUUUCCUAGGCAGACCCAGGCCCAGCGUAUAGGCCUGUGGCCCAUUUAUCUCCGAGUCCACGGGAGGGGCCAUAUCAGGAUUUCAAGUCCAAGUUGGAUUCUUCAGUUUCACAGCUAAAUGCACACACCAUCAGCAACUCAACAAUUACUCUGCAAUUAAUGGUUUAAAAUUCAUACACUCCAGUCUCUCCCCAGCAACAUCGCACGGUGCUGUGUCAUAGAGGGGAAAUCUGGCUUGAAAUUCCAGGUCUGUCGCAUCUUAUUGUUGGUGAGGCCUUGCAUAGGUGUCUCACAAUCUCUCUACCUCAGUAAUCAAGUGAACAGCACAGAGGAGGUGUGAAUAUCACACAGAUGUCAUGUUAUGUGCGUUUCACAGUGUCCCACUUAGUCCACACUUCAUGAGCAAAGAGGCAUGUGUGUCGCAGUCUCCUCCAACUUCUCUGAGCUCCAGCUUCACAACAACGGCAAGCUUAAUAAUGCACCUUUUUAUUUUAUAGUCAAGUUUUUCGAGGCUUAAUUUAUAUACAGUAAAUUUCCACCUUAUUAGGUGUACAGUUCUAUGAGUUUUGAAAAAAAUGCUGAUAGUCCUGUAACCACCACCACAAUCAAGACAGAGAACAUUUCCAUCAUCCCGAAAUGUCCCCUCAUGCCCCUUUGGUAGUCAAUACCUUCCCUGACUUGCAGCCCCUGGCAACCUGUUUUCUAUCCUAUCGUUUUUCUUUUUUCCGGAAAGUCACAUAAGUAUGAAAUUUGUGAAUGUCAUGAAAUUACGCAGUGGGUAAUAGCUCGAGUCUGACUUCUUUCACGUGUGUGACACGUGUGAGAUUCAUCCACGUUGCUGCACCUAUCAGCAGCUUCUUUCUAUUGCUGAGUAUUAUUCCAUUGUGUGGAUGUUUCGCAGCUGGUUUAUUGUUUCACCAGUUGAUGGACAUUGGGUUUUUGGGGACUGAGAAAAGUUGCCGCAAAUAUUUGUACACAGGCUUUUGUGUGGAUCAAUGUUUUCAUUUCUCUGGGCAGAUACCUAUGCGUGGGUCUUAUGGUACAUCUGUGCUUAGGUUUAUAAGAAACUGCCAAACUAUCUUUUUUUUUAACCAACCUGUCAGACUUAUCACUGGGUGGGGACAGGAUUCAGAUCUUCGGGCCUGGGCUUCCCUCCAGGAAGGGCCUCAAAUUUAAACAUCAGUAAUAUUUCUAAUUGAGGUUGUACAGUUGACACAUUGACAGGAUUGAAUGAAGAUGCUUUUUAGACGACUUUAAACUUGUAUACCCUUCCUGGAUCAUGGUGUCUAUACCACAAGUCAGUAAGCUAAGGCCUGGGUUUUUUUUUUUUUGUAAAUAAAGUUUUAUUGGAACACAUCUAUGGCCCUUGUUUACAUGUUGGCAGUGGCUGCUUUGACACUGCAACACGGAGUGGAGUAGUUGUGACAGACUGUUCUGCCAAACUGUUUUUCAAAAUGGCUGUGUGGUUUCAGCGAUUUCACUGUUUAAAAAUUAAACUUCUAUUUUGAGAUAAUUGUAGAUUUAUAUGCAGUUGUAAUAAAUAAUGCAGAGAGAUCCUGAGGGCCCCCGAAUUCCGUACCCAGUUUUCCCUGGUGGUAACGUCUCACAGAACUACAGUACAAUACCGCAACCAGGAUAGUGACAUUGUUACUGUCAAGGUGCAGGACAUUCCCACCACCACAGGAUUCCUUAUGUGGCCCUUUUACAGCCACCCCCCUCCCCCCACCCCAGCCCUUCCUUAACUUCUGGCAACCAGUAAUCAGUUGUCCAUUUCUAUAAUUUUGUUACUUCAAGGCUGUUACAUAAAUGGAAUCAUGCAGAGUGUAACCUUUUACGGAUUGGGUUUUUUCGCUGGCCAUCGUUCUCUGGAGACUCAUUCAGGUUGUUACAUACACCAGUAGUUGGUUCCAUUUUAUUUCUGAAUAGUAAUCCAUGGCCUGAGUGCCACAGGCCACAGUUUAACCAUUCAUCAGUUGAAGGACGUCAGAGUUGUUUCCAGUUUUAGGCUAUUACGAAUAAAGUUGCCAUAAACAUUCGUGUACUGGCUUUGUGUGAACACAAGCAUUUAUUCUCCGGGGUAAACAUCCGGGAUGCAAUUGACAGGUCAUGUGAUAGUUGCCUGUUUAGCCUUGUAGGAAACUGUAAAUGAUUUUCCAGCCUGGCUGCACCAUUUUCUAUUCCCACCAGCAAUAUGAAUGAUUCAGUUUCUCCACAUCCUCCCCAGCUUUUUAUUUCUCCAGUUUCUCAUGGAGAUUUACUUUCCCCAAAGGGAUCGACAAUACGCCCUCGAAUUUGUCAUUUCUACCAUUUAAAACUAUUAUUUCUGUGAUGCUCUCCAUUAUGUAGCUCAGUGUCCCUUUAGGUAAAGUGUUGUCAGAAGUCAGACCAAACAAGGAUAAAAGUUUGGGUUCUCUGUAAACUAGGGUGUUUGAUUUGACACCCAGAGCUGUAAAGGGCACUCUAUUUCCCUUUUCAACUUGGCUGCUGGGAAGUUCAGUAUCAAGUAUUACAUUAAUUGUCAGUGUCUCCCAUUAGCCCCCUGUCAUUGCUUGUUCAUGUCCUUUUUAUUAUGUUUGCUAUAAAUAAUUCAUUUGCCUAAGCUGUUUUGGGCAUCCCUUCUCCAUACUUUCAUAGAUACUUAACUUAGUCUAGCACUGUGUCUAUCAGAGUGAAUUAUAACCAUGCUCCUGGAUCUGUCUCCCCCAUCGUAUGAGAAACUCCUUCAGAAUAAUGCCCCACUCACUGCCCUAUCCCCCAAAGAUGACUUACAAGUAUUUAUUUAUUCAUUCGUUAGAUAUUUAAGGAGCACUUGCAUGGAUUUUAUAUGGGUUUAGCCUCAGGAAAAGCAUAGUGUGGAAGGGAGAGUUAAGUUAUGAAUCUGAAUAACUACAAAACCAGGCAAAGUGUGACGAGUAGUUUAAAGGAAUGAAGAUGCUUAAGGAGUUCAGAGAUGGGAGAGAUUGUGUCUACGGCAGAGAUAUGGAAGGUUUAUUUUAAUAGUGUUAUGACUUUUUAAAAAUUAACAUCUUCCGCAUCAGCUAUUUACAUCCUUUCAGGGGUUCGAUGGAGUUGUAUAAACUGCUGUUACUGAUAAGGGAAGGGCCACAGGGAAAGAAGUGUGUGGGUUAUUUGGGGAACCUGGUGCUGGGGUUCUGCCUGCUAGUGAUGGUAAAGCUGAGGACAUGAUCAGAAGGGAGGGCAGCUGGGGAGAGGAAGAGCAUCGCCCAUCUCAGGAGAAACCAACUCCAGUUGAAUACUAAAAGGACUAGGAUCUCGAGAGAAAUAAACGCGCGUGUUAUCCGUCUGAGACUACUCUGAGGGACCCAGCAUUUCUAGAAAUUCCAGGAGUUGAAAUAGGGAGGGGGUUAAUGCCUCUGGGGCAAAACAAUGAGUGUGCGGAGAGCUGCCUGCCUCUCUGGUGUCCUGAGACAUGAGGAGACCCAGACUCCUGGGGUCUGCUGGACCCCGAAGUCUCUGCUCUUUCUUGUUCCACAGGCCUCUCAAGAACAAUGAAGGCAACACAUCAGCGACCUCAGAGAAGUCCAGGGGACCCCAACCCUACACAACUGGUAUCUGAGGCUGAUUCAGUUGUUGGCAUUGUUACUUUUUACAGCUAAACCCCUAAACCAAACAAAUGCAGAAGUGAAAGGAGGGCCUUCUUGUGGAGCAAAGGGGUUCAGAGUUCUGGUCAAAACAAAACCAUUCUCAUGACAGAGCUGAUCGUGACUGCUUUCUCGUGGAAUCUUCUGGGCCAGUGACUUCCAAAGAGAUCGCUACCUGUUGGCCAGGCUGGAUUCUACACUGGGACACUUAUGAGCACCUUGCCCAGUGUUCAUUGAGUUAUGAGCAACGGGAGCAGGUCCUCUCUGACUACCAUAAAGACUAGCUGUGCCUCUCCUGAGCAUUUCUUUCAUCUUUUGGGUUCUCUGGUCAUAUGUCCCUCUUGGCAGUGACUGCUAGGAAUUCAGAGUUGAAUUUGUGACCCAAACCUUGUAAAUAUACAACAUUGUACGACAUAGUUUAACAGACAAUGAUGCUUCAAGUACUGCCUUGAUUUUCUUGUCUUGAUUUCCUUCCUUCCUUCCUUUUUAAUCUGUUUAUACUGUUUUUCUUAAGACCUUUGAGUCCCAAUUUUACAGGUAAGGAUCCUGAGGCACAGAGAAGUCCCACAGCAAGUAAGAGACGGAGCCAGGAUUUGAAUCUAGGAAGAAUAGUUUGUCUUGAAGAAACUUGCAUUACCAUCUAAAUAUUACUAUGAUAAAAUCCCUGAAAAAGCACCAAAAUAUAACACAAAUUUGGCCUCACUUACCCCUAAUUUGUCAUUUAACAUGUAUGUGGCCUUGUGCAAAUUCCUUUAGGUCAUUUGAAAAUGGAGUUGAUAGCAUCCAUCUCCAGGGUUGAUCUGAGGAGUAAAUUAGAUAAUCUGGGUUAAAUCUGGUAUGUGAGAGAGCUGCAGGACCAACUGACACCAAUUAAGUGGUGGCAAAGAGAGCUCUGGACAAAGGGGACCAGGAUCCAGCUCCAGCUCCAGUUCCUGUCGAUAAAAUGGAGUGUGAUCUUGUCACAAGCUCAGAUAAGAUCAGAGAUGUGAAAAUGCUGUGUAAAUGACCAAUGGCUGAACGAUGUCAAAGGUCAUCGAUCUAAUGAGGAAGUUGGACCUGCUACCUCCAAAGUGCCUUCCAGGCAGGUGACAGGGGAUGAGUGCUAACACUGAUUUUCGUCAGUAUUUUUGAAAACUGAGGCUAAGUUGUUACAGGUAAAAGGGAAUGGCUCUCGUGGUUGUUGGAAUUCAUCUUGGCCAGGAUUCUAUGAGGAUUCAUUCUUCAUUCAGGUCUUAUUUGGAUAAAGGUUUUUUUCUUUUUGCCUUUGAAUGUCUUGCAGGCAUCUCAAACGCAACAUAUCUAAACAUGACUUUAUUUUAUUUCACCUCAAAUCUUAUCCUUCUCGAGAGUUUUCUUUCGGUUAAUGGCAUCACCAUCUACCAUGUUGCCCAGAGAGAAAUCUAGAGUGAUUAUCUGAUUCAGCCUUCUGCCUUACCUCGAUCCCCCAGCACGAGCACACUCGGCUAUCAGUUCUGCUGACCUGCCUCAAAGCUUUUCCUGCAACAUGUCCCCAUUUCUCCAUCCCCUCUGCCAACAGUGCCACAACAGGAACCAGUUUCUAAAGCUUCAUUCGUCAUCCUAAAAAAAUGGUUUCUGUUGUCAUCAUCAUCAUCAUUAUGAUCACACCCAAUAUUUAUUAAGCACAUUUUAUACCAGCACAUUUAUAUGUAUAUAUGUGUUUGAAUAUAUAUAUAUAUAUAUAUAUAUAUUUCAUUUAGUUUACAGAAUACCUACAUAGAACUUACUAUGUGACAAACACUAUUUAAGGACAUUAUAUGCAUUAAUUCAUUUAAUCCUCACAACAACCCAGUGAGGUAGGUGGUAUUAUUAUCUUCAUUUUACAGAUGAGGAAACUGAGGCAGAGAGGUUAGCUAACCUGCCCAAGUUUAGACAGCUAGAAACUGGCAGAGCUCAAAUUUGAACCUAAGAAUUAUGGCUUCAGAGUCUGUCCUCCAGUACACGUUGAAUAGUCAUAAUAGCUACUAUCCUAAGUCAGGCACCUUACAUAGCUUUAUAGGAAAUAUAACAACUCUGAGAGGCAGGGAUUAUUAGCUGCCUUUCACAAGUAAAGACACAAAGGUAAGGACCUUAAGGAGAGAGCCCAAUUCACACCACCAGGAAGUGAGAGCAGAGGCAAGCCGCCGCACUUGUCCGGCAGCGUGAGGAUGACAAUGCCACAGCGGACUGUGGGUGCAGGGCGCUGCUCUGUUUCAGUUACUGGAUUUGACUCCUGUAUAUUUUAUUCUGAAAAGCAAAAACAAGCUCACAGAAUUCUAGAAUUCACAGAUCAGAGAAUUCAGAGAUGAGAGGGACCCACAGGGGCCUCUUGUCGAGGAUCUUCUUACACAGAUGAUCCUUAGUUGGAGAGACUCUCCCGAAGACCCACAUUCAGAGAACGUUAAAGUCAGUCCUGAUUCCCAUGUCUUCCAGAGUUAAACCCAAAAGGCAUAAUGGGGCUUUUCUCCUUUUUCAUGGCAAAAUCCAAAGACAUGAAAGAAUAAAGAGAUAUAUACCAUAGCUGUAACCAGCUAUCCUUCUCUCUCCUUUCUCUCUCUCUCUCCCCUCUUCAUUUGUUUAGCUGAAAAAUUUCUAUAAUCAGUUACAAAUUCUCACAUCACCUCUGCUU